rnacentral:rRNA from 1 species
AGGACGAACGCUGGCGGCGUGCUUAACACAUGCAAGUCGAGCGGAAAGGCCCUUCGGGGUACUCGAGCGGCGAACGGGUGAGUAACACGUGAGCAACCUGCCCUUAGCUUCGGGAUAGCUCCGGGAAACCGGAAUUAAAUACCGAAUAUGACUGCGGCUGACAUCAGCCACGGUGGAAAGUUUUUCGGCUAGGGAUGGACUCGCGGCCUAUCAGCUAGUUGGUGAGGUAACGGCCCACCAAGGCGACGACGGGUAGCC